GCCAGGUGUGGUGGGUCACGCCUGUAAUCCCAGCAGCUUGGGAGGCUGAAGCAGGAGGAUCACAAGUUCAAAGCCAGCCUCAGCAACUUAGCAAGGCCCUAAGCAACUCAGUGAGACCCUGUCUCAA
rnacentral:sRNA from 1 species